UAUCUCUGUAGAGUCUGCAUAUCAAUAAGCGGAGGAAAAGAAACUAACUAGGAUUCCCUCAGUAACGGCGAGUGAAGCGGGAAGAGCUCAAAUUUGAAAUCUUCAAGGUUCUACCUUGACGAAUUGUAGUUUAUAGAAGUGUUUUCUGUUAGUGGAGUGGCAAAAGUUCUUUGGAAUAGGACAUCAUAGAGAGUGAGAAUCCCGUAUUUGGUCAUUCCUUCUAGCGUUGUGAUACACUUUCAAAGAGUCGGAUUGUUUGGGAAUGCAGUCCAAAAUGGGUGGUAAAUUUCAUCUAAAGCUAAAUAUUGGCGAGAGACCGAUAGCGAACAAGUACCGUGAGGGAAAGAUGAAAAGAACUUUGAAAAGAGAGUUAAACAGUACGUGAAAUUGUCAAAAGGGAAGCGUUUGACACCAGUGUUGUUUAGUUGAAAAUCAAUUCAAUAAUUUUUGAUUUUGAGUAGUAUUGACUUCAUCAGCUUGCUGCUUUCUUUUCAGAAAUUAUUGAAUGCACUUUUCAGUUAACAAGUCAACAUCAAUUUCUUUUGUUGUAAAAGGGUAAGAGGAAGGUGGCUUACGCUUCGGCGUAAGUGUUUAUAACCUUUUACCUCUGCAAUCGGAGAGAUUGAGGUCUGCAGCGUAGACUCUUCGGGGUUAGAUACACUUGUGCUAAGCUAUAGCCUUGUAUAGACAACUUGUUGACUAUGCUCAGUCAUGUAGCUUACUCGCUUGUGCUAUUUUACCUACGCUUAGGAUGUUGAGUAGCGACAUACGCAC
rnacentral:rRNA from 1 species